UACGGGGGGGGGCAAGCGUUGUUCGGAAUUACUGGGCGUAAAGGGCUCGUAGGCGGCCAACUAAGUCAUACGUGAAAUCCCUCGGCUUAACCGGGGAACUGCGUCUGAUACUGGAUGGCUUGAGUUCGGGAGAGGGAUGCGGAAUUCCAGGUGUAGCGGUGAAAUGCGUAGAUAUCGGGAGGAACACCUGCGAUGUAGAUGGCUUACUGGACCGUAACUGACGCUGAGGCACGAAAGCGUGGGUAGCAAACAGG
rnacentral:rRNA from 1 species